CAAGUAAUGAAAUAGCUCUCAUCCAUGGCCAUGUCAGUAUGCAUGGGAAAAAAUAAGUAUCAUGUCUAGAGAGUGUCUUGGAUGAAUCCAUUGCCAAUGAUGGUGGUGGUUAUAAUUUCAAAUAGACAAAUCAUCUAUAAUGAUUACAUGAGAGAAUUUACUAUACAAUGAGAGUGACCUGAUGCUUUGUUAAAAUCUAGCAGUUAUUAAGGGAAUACUCCAAUGACUGAAAAAAUCUUAAAAAAAUAAGGAACAAGAAAGUUUCCAGUCAUAUUCAAUGCCACAGCUUGCUGCAAAAUCCAAUAUGUAAAACUUAUGUCCUCUUGCUGUAAGUGCCUUGGAGAAAGUAUCAAUCAAUUGUCCAGCCAAGCUUGCUGGAGCAUCAGGCUGGAUCAUCAGACAUGGUGUCAACAAAAACAGACUAUUCUUUGCCCUGAGAUGUUCUUGUAAGCUGAACCAUGUAGGAAACUUUAUGUGGAAUUCCUUCUGUAUAUGACCUUUACAUUCUAACCAACGAAUCAUCUUAACACAAUAUUUACAAUUUUUCUCCAAGGAACCAGGUGAAUCCAGAGAGGAACUACGAACAGCAUUAGGGAGAGUCCUGUCACAGUUGUGUAAGUCACCAUAUCUGUUGGACCUUUUGCUUGAGCCACCAAUUUGUGGCUCUAUGGCAGCCACUUCCUUGAUUGGAUUUACAGCUCAAUUCUCAGAAUUACCAUUAGGUUUUGAUGACCAUUUCUUGAGAUUCCAUUUCCAGUGCCAUUCUCUUUGCAUACGCUGAUAGGAAUUACCGGAUGUGAACAAUCAAAAGGAACUACAUCCAUUUCAUUUCAAGAGGGCAUGCUGACCUCAUUAUCGUUGCAAGUCUCCUCUAACAGUGUAACCUUAGAAUGAUUUUCAUGAUCACUUUUAGGAAGUUCCUUCUCCUUUUUUUUAUCACUUGAAUUUGUUGAAUCUCUGUGAAUCCGCUUGAACACAAGAAGUCUGCAUCAAACCUGUUUCAACCACUAUGUUCCUCAUCCAGGGCAGAAACUGAGUCUCCAUAUGCAUCUUCAGGGUCUCCACUUUCAGUUGAAUAACAUCUUUUGAUGAAUUAUGUCAAGCUCAUUUAAGACAAUUACAACAGAUGCUGAUGAGAUAUCAUCAAAUUCAAUUUUUGAAGCAAUAGGAACCAAAUCACCUGUUGCCAAUAGAACAAAGGUCAGAUAUGCAUUUGGUAAUUUGAAAAAGAUACGGCUAAAUAUUGCUAGGAAUGCCAAAGUUCCUUAAUAAUGUAUGUCCACUUCAACUAAUACAUACAAACUAUCCUUACAAAUAAUAUAUUCUACAAUCUGAAGAAACAGAGAAAAACUGUUCCAGCUUAAUCAAGAAAAGGUUUUGCUAUUAAAAAGACUAUAUAACUCACCUGCCUAACAAAUUCUAUUCCAUGGAGUGCGUUAUCUCUGAUAUAAACAUUAGUGCUUGCUUGGGAUACCCAAGAGAGCAUAGCAUCUACUUCUUCUAUGCCCAUGGCACAUAGUUUCUGUACCUCCAAUCCUGAAGAUAGUCUACUGACAAUUCUACGGGUCAUCUUGUGAUUUACUCUAUUCAUUGGUUCUACUUCCUCUUCAAGUUUCUUUGCUACCACUUCUACAAUCUCAUGUAACUCUCUGUACUGAAAUGUACCAUUUAGAAACCUGUGACUUAAAGAAAUGCGGAAGCAAAGAAUAUCUGCUCUCUGACCAUCCUUUGCAAUUACCAACUGUUUGCUCCAGCAUCUGCAGUGGACAAUUUUCACUGCAUAUGAAUGAUGAAAUAUUGAAGGCAUUCUUAUAUUGAAACAAUUAAGUCCUUUUGUUUUACUAUUUUUAAUUCCUUGGCUGCGUUUAAACCCAUCAAGACUGUAUCAACACAAAUAACAAAUCAGACUUUAAGUUGAUAUAAGAGAUGAAUUUCGUAACAAAGUUUAUUAAAAAAGAUUAAAGGAUAAAAAUUGCCAGUAUACCUCACUGAAAUAAAGACGAAAAUCACAAAAAUGAAUAAAACUGGAGACUGUCAGAGUAAAUGAUUUAAGCAGAACCAAAGCCACAAAACAAGCAGUACAAUUGCAUUGUAAUUGUGCCGAUUAAAUAGGCUUACAGACAAAAGUCAAAUUGGCUAUCUGUGCAAAACCUUCACUACCAAACAAAAUGAAGUCUUAAUAGCACUUAUAAUUUGAGGGCUAGUUGAAACAACUAACUCUAUAAUAUAUCUAAACGACCUAGCCACCAGCCCAUCCUGCCCUCCACCCUGAUGACUAAACCAGAUACAAGGGUAGAGAUUAAUAUCACUUAUUCUGUUAGUGUUUCUUCUUGGGUGCUAACUUGUUAUAUGCAGCCUUGAUAGGGAGGCCAUAUCGGUCCUAAUAGUGUUGUGCAGAUUUAAAAUCCUUUACAGAAAUAUUAAGGGUGUCAUUCACUCAUAUUAUGUCCUCCAUUGUCUGUCACAGGGCCUUGUUCAUGGAGCAGGGUUGUUUUCUUUUACCAGACAUGUCGUGUCGGAUGAGAAGGAAGGCUUGGGUGGUUAGACUGCUGCAGUCUUAUUGACCGGUUCACAGUCAUAUUCUCUGUAUCAGUUACCAAGUCAUCUCCUUAGACUAGGCCAUAUCCUUUAAUUUUAGGCCUGCAGUAGAGUUCAUCUCCAUUACUAUGAAUUUUGCGUACUACUCCAUCUGCUGAUUCAGCUAGGUUAUUCUCUUCCUACUCCCUCUUUUCUCUUGGUGGAAUUGAUGAAAAAUAUGGUCAACAAUAAAUAGUUGUAAAGAGGAUGGGAGGCGAAUUCGACAUCUGAAAGUGCUGCUCGUGAUAUUCAUUGGCUCCCUGGCUGGAAUUAACACCAUCAAAUUUGAAAUUACUACGGUCAUAUUAGACCACAUCUUGGUGAGGUAUUUUGUCAUAUAAUCUGCUACUUAAAUUAACUGUCAGUAUUCCAAGACAUUUGAAAUUGUAAAUCACUUAAAAUUGAUGCUUUCACAUUUUGCAUGCAUGUUUAUUAUAAUGUACACAAAUACAAGUGACAAAAAAAAUCACUUUUAAUAAUUUUUAAUGCAUCUUUAACCUGUAUCAAAGCUCCCAUUGUGGCACAAGCUUGGAAGAUGGUGUCAA